CCUCCGCUGACGCCAGAACACCUAUGUUGUCAGGGUUGCCUAGCUGGGAAUCACCACCCGAGACCUUCACACUGGUAACAUUGCAGGAUACUGGCCUCUGGGGGUUGCAGUUCUCUCCUCGCCGUCUCCGCUGAGAGGCUAUGAGGUCCAUCAGACAGUCCUUUCUCACACAAGCUGCAUCCCCACGCCCACCUUGAUUUGGAAAGGAAGAACUUGAGAGCAUUUUCUCAGGCCUGGAGAACAACCAAAGGCUUCAAGGCCUCAGUCUGCGUUAUCGUGGUGUGGGACCUCAGAGCGGGCUAAGACUGGGUUCGGUCAUCAGCCAGAGUGCCAUUUGCAAGCUGUACCUUGAAGGCAAUUACUUGGAAUGUUCUGGAGCGCUGGCUCUUCUCAGGCCCAUAGCAGACUCUGCGGAGACACAGGGGAAAGACCGGCUGACCCCAGGCUCACCAGACGCUGGAAAUCCCCCUCAGCGGCUCCAAGCCAAACAGAGAGGAAGUUCAACUUUGAACCAGAUUACAAAAUCGUCUGAAGCUGUAACAGUGAAAACUACUUCAGGGAAGAAAAAGAGAAAAAAAGGAAUCAAGAAGAAAAUUGAAGGUCUGAUGGAAGCUGGUCCUUGGUUAGUGAAGUUGCAUUUGGCAGAUAAUGGCAUAGAUGGAAAAGGAAAAGAAGGAGAAAAUGGUUUGUCGGAAUUCAUUCAAACUUUAACAUAGUAAGUAGCAAUUUAAGAGGCCUUAUUUGUUCACCUUUUAAAACUAAGUGCUUGAAUUAAAUCAUUGGGAUAAUUAUUUAGCUGCACCUUUUUGGCAGUUUCCAGUGAGGUUUUACAGCUCUGAGAGCCAAGCAGUGACCCAUCUUGGUCUUGGUACCUAACAUGGCAAACAGUUGUGUGUGGACCAUAAAGCAAUCUUCAAGACCUCACUAGAAGCCCCAUUUUAAGAAGUUGGCAACUGAGGAAAAACAGGACGUAUGACCUCCCAAUUUUUCUUUCUUAAAGUCAGGAUAUAAUGUAAAAUGUAAUCGAUGUGACCUAAGGAGGAAGGGCGGCCUACCCAGGAGUGAUCACUUUUUUGUAUUUGAUUACAAAGUUGUCCCAGCCUCCUCAAGGCAGAAGGACACAGCUGUUCUCAAAAGCUUCUCAAAAACAGGAUAUUUCCUUGCCAUGUUUGUGUUGAGAAUCUUAGGUAUUUCCCUGUCCAGGCCUACUGAGUCCACAUCCCCAGUGGGCCAAGUAGGAUUUGCAGCUACUGUAGAAAAAACUUGCUGGGUGGAGACAACUCCAAGAUAUAUAGUUUCAGGUAGUUGAUAGUGACAGCAGCGCGGCGAAAGUCAAGGGCAACAGAACACAGCCAAGGCUUGAGGCUUGAGGGCUUGAUGGAUGGCU
rnacentral:lncRNA from 10 species